rnacentral:rRNA from 1 species
CAAUAGCGUAUAUUAAAGCUGUUGCGGUUAAAAAGCUCGUAGUUGGAUUUCUGUCAAGUACAACUGGUCCGCCCUCCGGGUGAGCACAUAGUUUGGUCUUGGCAUCUUGCUGGAAAUUGUUGCUGCACUUGGCUGUGUGGCGCAGUGUCCAGCACUUUCACUUUGAGGAAAUUGGAGUGUUUCAAGCAGGCAAUGCCUUUGAACACAGUAGCAUGGAAUAAUUAGAUUGGGCUUUUGCUCCAAUUUGUCGGUUUCUGGAGCUGAGGUGAGAAUUAAUGGGGAUUGUUGGGGGCAUCCGAAUUUAGCCGUCAGAGGUGAAAUUCUUGGAUCGUAGCACGACGAACAACUGCGAAAGCAUUUGCCAAGAAUGUUUUCAUUAA